GAGUGCAGUAGGGAGUCUGGAAUUCCUGGUGUACGGUGAAAUGCGCAGAUAUCAGGAGGAACACCGGUGCGAAGCGGGACUCUGGGCUGUAACUGACACUGAGGAGCGAAAUGCAUGGGGAGCGAACAGGAUUAGAUACCCUGGUAGUCCAUGCCGUAAACGUUGGGCACUAGGUGUGGGGGGCAUUCCACGUUCUCCGCGCCGUACUAACGCA
rnacentral:rRNA from 1 species